GCUCGUGUGGUGUAGUUCGGCCCAUCAUGGCGGGUUUUCAUCCCGUUUACCCGGGUUCAAAUCCCGGCACGAGCA
rnacentral:tRNA from 2 species